rnacentral:rRNA from 1 species
UACAGAGGGUGCAAACGUUGUUCGGAAUCACUGGGCGUAAAGCGCACGUAGGCGGAUCUUUAAGUCAGGGGUGAAAUCCUGGAGCUCAACUCCAGAACUGCCUUUGAUACUGGGGAUCUCGAGUCCGGAAGAGGUAAGUGGAACUCCGAGUGUAGAGGUGAAAUUCGUAGAUAUUCGGAAGAACACCAGUGGCGAAGGCGGCUUACUGGUCCGGUACUGACGCUGAGGUGCGAAAGCGUGGGGGAGCAAACAGG